rnacentral:rRNA from 1 species
GACGAACGCUGGCGGCGUGCUUAACACAUGCAAGUCGAACGGAAAGGCCCUGCUUGCAGGGUACUCGAGUGGCGAACGGGUGAGUAACACGUGGGUGAUCUGCCCUGCACUUCGGGAUAAGCCUGGGAAACUGGGUCUAAUACCGGAUAGGAGCCAUUUUUAGUGUGAUGGUUGGAAAGUUUUUUCGGUGUAGGAUGAGCUCGCGGGCUAUCAGCUUGUUGGUGGGGUAAUGGCCUACCAAGGCGGCGUCGGGUAGCCGGCCUGAGGGGGUGGACGGCCAUAUUGGGACUGAGAUGCGGCCCAGACUCCGACGGGAGGCAGCAGUGGGGAAUAUUGCACAAUGGGCGCAAGCCUGAUGCAGCGACGCCGCGUGGGGGAUGACGGCCUUCGGGUUGUAAACUCCUUUCGCUAGGGACGAAGCUUUUUGUGACGGUACCUAGAUAAGAAGCACCGGCUAACUACGUG